CCUACGGGUGGCAGCAGUGGGGAAUAUUGGACAAUGGGCGAAAGCCUGAUCCAGCCAUGCCGCGUGUGUGAAGAAGGCCUUCGGGUUGUAAAGCACUUUCAGUGGGGAAGAAAGCCUUGGGUCUAAUACCCUCGAGGAAGGACAUCACCCACAGAAGAAGCACCGGCUAACUCCGUGCCAGCAGCCGCGGUAAUACGGAGGGUGCGAGCGUUAAUCGGAAUUACUGGGCGUAAAGCGCGCGUAGGCGGUCUGAUAAGCCGGUUGUGAAAGCCCCGGGCUCAACCUGGGAACGGCAUCCGGAACUGUCAGGCUAGAGUGCAGGAGAGGAAGGUAGAAUUCCCGGUGUAGCGGUGAAAUGCGUAGAGAUCGGGAGGAAUACCAGUGGCGAAGGCGGCCUUCUGGACUGACACUGACGCUGAGGUGCGAAAGCGUGGGUAGCAAACAGGAUUAGAUACCCCUGUAGUC
rnacentral:rRNA from 1 species